rnacentral:lncRNA from 1 species
UAAAAGUGCCCGUGCGUUGCAACGGGCAAACAAAAAAACUCAAAAAAUAUAUAAUGGCCAAAUAAAACAAUUCAAGUUCAUCAAAUUGUGCCAAUCUGAUGUAAAUCCUGCAAAUCAACUCAAUAAUUAAGAAUAACUCAUGCAAGAAAGAGGAACCUGAGCUUAAGAAAAAGAGGAACUUGCACACCAUCCUGCUAGAAUGUGCUUGAAUGGACGCUCCUUCUGCACAUGGUCCACAAUCGUCUAGUGGAAAAAUAAAUCAAAAGGUCAAUGUUUGUUUACCCACAGGGAGAUCAAUGUUUUGUUUUAAUGUUCUACGGAGAGGUUGUGGCUCAUGCCUCAUGACAGGGAGAUCAAUGUUUGUUUUAAUGUUCUACGGAGAGGUUGUGGCUCAUGCCUCAUGACAUUUACAAGAGGAAAAUUCAAAUCAUCUCUAGGUGCUAGCACUUAAAAGAAGGUACAGCCUUAGAGGUUCACUCUCAAGUAAAAUACAAAAUACGUAAACAGACCUGACAAUACAACUCAAUAGCCUCUAUUGUGUAAGCUUGGUUCCCAUCCCAUGGCAAAGGUGGAGAAAUUGCUGAGAACAUGUUUGUUAGUUAAGGCCAACAUGAAAGAAAACUAAUUAAAAUAUCUAUGCGUUCCUUUUUUUCUGAUGAAAGUAUUCCCUCUGUAAAGAAAUAUAAGUGCGUUCAGAUCACUACUUUACAGAGAGAGUAUGUAGCAAAAAUGCACGUGUGUUGCAAUGGGAGGAAAACAAAUCACACGCCUUUAACCCAAGCUGUGAUUUUAGGCAUGAAAUUAUAUUGUUGUUCAUCAUUUACAAAAACUGAAACAUAUAAGUAUUCUGAUGUUCUACAGAUUGUUAAUAAGUUGAUGGUCAU